rnacentral:misc_RNA from 1 species
GAUGAAGAACGUAGCGAAAUGCGAUAAGUAAUGUGAAUUGCAGAAUUCAGUGAAUCAUCGAAUCUUUGAACGCACAUUGCGCCCCUUGGUAUUCCGAGGGGCAUGCCUGUUCGAGCGUCAUAUUAACCACUCCCGCUUGCGGGGUCUCGGGCUUCGCCUCCGGGCGGGCCUUAAAAUCAGUGGCGGUGCCGUCGGGCUCUACGCGUAGUAAAUUUUCUCGCGAUAGGGUCCCGGUGGAUGCUUGCCAACAACCCCCAACUUCUUAAGGUUGACCUCGGAUCAGGUAGGGAUACCCGCUGAACUUAAGCAUAUCAAUAAGCGGAGGA